rnacentral:rRNA from 1 species
GACGUAGGGGGCCAGCGUUGCUCGGAAUUACUGGGCGUAAAGGGUUCGUAGGCGGUGUGGCAAGUCGGGAGUGAAAUCUCUGGGCUUAACUCAGAGGCUGCUUCCGAAACUGCCGUGCUAGAGUGCGGGAGAGGCGAGUGGAAUUGCAGGUGUAGCGGUGAAAUGCGUAGAUAUCGGGAGGAACACCAGUGGCGAAGGCGGCCUUCUGGACCAGCACUGACACUCAAGCACGAAAGCGUGGGGAGCAAACAGG